AGCGAACGCUGGCGGCAGGCCUAACACAUGCAAGUCGAACGGAUCCUUCGGGAUUAGUGGCGGACGGGUGAGUAACACGUGGGAACGUGCCCUUUGAUUCGGAACAACUCAGGGAAACUUGAGCUAAUACCGGAUGUGCCCUUCGGGGGAAAGAUUUAUCGCCAUUGGAGCGGCCCGCGUCUGAUUAGCUAGUUGGUGGGGUAAAGGCCCACCAAGGCGACGAUCAGUAGCUGGUCUGAGAGGAUGACCAGCCACAUUGGGACUGGGACACGGCCCAAACGCCUACGGGAGGCAGCGGUGGGGAAUCUUGCGCAAUGGGCGAGAGCCUGACGCAGCCAUGCGGCGUGAAUGAUGAAGGUCGUAGGAUUGUAAAAUUCUUUCGCCGGGGACGAUAAUGACGGUACCCGGAGAAGAAGCCCCGGCUAACUUCGUGCCAGCCGCCGCGGUAA
rnacentral:rRNA from 1 species